rnacentral:rRNA from 1 species
UACGUAGGCAGCGAGCGUUGUUCGGAGUUACUGGGCGUAAAGGGCGCGUAGGCGGCUUGGCAAGUGGAUGGUGAAAUCCCUCGGCUUAACCGAGGAACUGCCAUCCAGACUGCUUUGCUUGAGGCCGGGAGAGGUGAGUGGAAUUCCCAGUGUAGCGGUGAAAUGCGUAGAUAUCGAGAGGAACAUCGGUGGCGAAGGCGGCCUUCUGGACGGUGACUGACGCUGAGACGCGAAAGCGUGGGGAGCAAACAGG